GGCCGGGGACUGUGUCUGAGCAACUCCGGCCCUGAGGGCUCUGGAGCAGGAAAGCUGAGAAGAUGAGGUUGUUCUUGGCAAUAGUAGCAGUGAAAGUUGACUUUCCUUAAUAAUUUACAUUCAUAACGUUUCAGACCAAAAGAGGUCGAGAGAUGUGUAGUCUGACUCCCCAGUGUAACGGAGGAGAAAGAACCGGGGAGUUACUACUGUCUGCCGGCCAGUACAACCUGCACUGUGCUGAUUGCCCUUGGAAAACACUGACUCCUGAAGGAGGAAAUAACCAACUCGGUUCUGCCCAUGAUUUGGCUGGAGAUUGAACACAGGGCCUUGUUCAUGUUAGGCAAUUGCUGUAGUGCCGAACUAUAUGCCCCGGGCCCAAGCUGACUUGGGAACAUGUGACAGAGAUCAGCAUCAUUAACAG
rnacentral:lncRNA from 1 species